GUGGGGAAUAUUGGACAAUGGGCGAAAGCCUGAUCCAGCCAUGCCGCGUGUGUGAAGAAGGUCUUCGGAUUGUAAAGCACUUUAAGUUGGGAGGAAGGGCAGUAAGUUAAUACCUUGCUGUUUUGACGUUACCGACAGAAUAAGCACCGGCUAACUUCGUGCCAGCAGCCGCGGUAAUACGAAGGGUGCAAGCGUUAAUCGGAAUUACUGGGCGUAAAGCGCUCGUAGGUGGUUUUGUAAGUUGGAGGUGAAAUCCCCGGGCUCAACCUGGGAACUGCCUCCAAAACUGCAUGACUAGAGUACGGUAGAGGGUAGUGGAAUUUCCUGUGUAGCGGUGAAAUGCGUAGAUAUAGGAAGGAACACCAGUGGCGAAGGCGACUACCUGGACUGAUACUGACACUGAGGUGCGAAAGCGUGGGGAGCAAACAGGAUUAGAAACCCUAGUAGUCC
rnacentral:rRNA from 1 species